AUGGGGAACAUGACAAGAACUACCGCGAUUAUCAUUUCGUAUAUGGGUCUACGAUGCCGCAUCCAGAUGGGCUAAAAAGGAAGGGGAUGCGGCGUUCAUGGAGUUCUGGUACUGACCUAAGAAAUGCGAAGAUUCGGAUCUACUCCUACUGGGAGAAGGAGAUUUACCUGAAGGAAGAAGGAGAAGCCGGGCGAGGAUUGAGGAAGUCCCGCGACGGCGGUCGUGCCCUCGACUGGUUCGGGAAGCAGCUGGACGGCGACGACGUGCGACGGGGCUUCGGCGGUGACGAGGUGGUCGAGGUGUGACGCCCUCGGUUUAAUCGUACGCUAAUCAUACACGCAAAUGCGUACGAUAAAACUCAAGGACUCACGGGAAGAUAUCACAACACAACUCUAGACACAAAUAAAACAACAUCAGCUUCAUAUUACAAGCCAGGGGCUUCGAGGGCUAGAAUACGGAAGCUCGAUAAACACACGAGUCAGCGGAAGCAACAAUAUCUGAGUACAGACAUAAAACAUGGGGUGCCUUAGAGAAGGCUAGCACAAAAGAUACAACGAUCGAACGAGGUGAGGCCUCCUGCCUGGGAAUCUCCUAAUUACUCCUGGUCAUCAGCGGCCUCCACGUAGUAGUAGGCACCGUCGGGGUAGCAGUCGUCGUCGGCGGGGACCUCCAUCUCCUGGGCUCCAUCAUCUGGUUGCAGCACGGAUCAAGGGGGCAAAGGGGGAGCAAAGCAGCGGUGAGUACUCAUCCAAAGUACUCGCAAGUUUUACAUCAGAAUUAUUCUAAGUAUGCAUCAGUAUCAAAGAAGGGGGGUUUAUAUGUGGACUGACUGCAGCAAUGCGAGAAUAGAGAGAAAGGCCUAGUCCUAUUGAAGACUAGCAUCUUCAGGGUCUUGCAGCAAUAGACGAGAGUAGAGCAAGGUAACACAAAUAAUAGUCAUAUUGUUGCAGCAAUAUUAAAGAGAGGUCAUGCCCAGAGAUCCUCCCUCGACUCCCUGCGAGGAAGCAAUCCCGAGGCAACUAAUUCCAGUUAAGUAACAAUUGUAGUUGUAUAAGAUCAGGGCACAACUCCAAGUCGUCCUGUACCCGUGGACACGACUAUUCGAAUAGUUAAUUUUCAUCCCUGCACGGGUGCACCACAUGUCCUGACGCGCUCGAUAACACUCUGGCCGGACACACUUUUCUAGGUCCUGCCCGGCCUCGGAGUAUCGACACGUCGCAGCCCCACCUAAGCUCAGCAGAGAGGACAGCCCGCCGGUCUAAAUCCUAAGCGCAAAGGGUUCAUGGGCCCAGUUCCCCUCCGCGCUCCUGCACGAUGCGAGGGCGGCCGACGUCAGUCCUAACACCCCUUAAUCACAAGCGUGAUGCAUCUCGGGACCACUCGGGCGCGUGCCGUUACAUCACUGACGUCUGAAGAGCUUCGGCUGAUACCGGGACGUCGAGUACCCAUAAUUCUUCCCACACAGAUGGUUAGUGCGAAAAGGUCUCCGACCAACCCAUAUCAAAUACCCAAAUUCAUUAACAUUUUAAUUAGGCCAUCGACACAAUCUCGCGGGAAUCCACCCGUCUUAACAACUAAUCACCAAUGAUCCCAGUAACAUGGUCGAGUAACUGUGUGGUUGUAACAUCGGGGGGAAUCCGAGGUAUCACCCUCGUUGGAUUUCGAACGAUGUAUCCGUCAAGGUGGGCUUAGAGGAAUCACCCUCGGGGGUCCCACACUUGAGGGGUUGCAUGACAGAGGCAUCGUCGGGAAUGGUGAAAGAGGAAUCACCCUCGAUAACCACGACCGACUAGCUAUACUACAGAGAUAUCAUCAGGAGUACUUAGCAAGGUGUCACCCUCAGUACCCGAUAUUAUCUCUGUAGCGUCGUACAACUAAGGGGUGUAUGUGAUGUGUCGGGUCUGGCUCGUCGAUCAGGGAUUGAGAUUUGAAAACAAGCAGGGCAACUGGACUACGGGGUCAGAGGGGAUGACUGCUCCACCUAUACUAAGCAGAUUUAAAGUACAAUGCUGAAAGUAGCAGUUCAUCAAAAUCAGGCUAUGCAUCAGAUAUAGGAGCUAACUACAACAGUAGCAAAAUACUAAUGCAAGCAGUAGGAAGAAAGACAUAGGCGAUAUAGGAAUGAUCAAGGGGGGUUUGCUUGUCUUGCUGCUGUGCGGCAAAGGACUGAUCGAUAGGGUCGUAGAUGUACCCGGCAACAGUGUCAGUCUCGGGGUCUACCGGUAAGAAGAGGGGGAAGAAAUAAUAAAUAAUAGCAACGGUGCAACACAAUGCAUGACAUGGCAAGAUGCAGGCUAGACAUGAGCUAACGCAGCAACAUCCGUCAUAGACGGGUCGGAAGAAUAUCUCACGAUAUUUUCCGGGUCUCGGGCUACUACCGGUUAGACUGGAAAUGAUGGAAAAGUUCCAUGUUUGCUAUGCUAGGGACGCGUGACAAACGAAUGGACCGUGUAUCUGGGUUCGUCUCGUUCUGUUGAUCAACUUUCAUGUUGAAAAUAUUUUGAUCUGACUUACAAAUUAUUUUAUAUUAAUUUUUAAAGUUUUAUUGAAUAAUUGGAAAUUAAAAACAAAUUUAACUAAUUUAAUUAAAAGCUAUUGUGACAUCNNNNNNNNNNNNNNNNNNNNNNNNNNNNNNNNNNNNNNNNNNNNNNNNNNNNNNNNNNNNNNNNNNNNNNNNNNNNNNNNNNNNNNNNNNNNNNNNNNNNNNNNNNNNNNNNNNNNNNNNNNNNNNNNNNNNNNNNNNNNNNNNNNNNNNNNNNNNNNNNNNNNNNNNNNNNNNNNNNNNNNNNNNNNNNNNNNNNNNNNNNNNNNNNNNNNNNNNNNNNNNNNNNNNNNNNNNNNNNNNNNNNNNNNNNUACUCUAAUUAUUUUAAUUACCCAAUUAAUUAAUUAAAUAAUAUAUCUAUUUAUUUAUUUAAUGAAAACAUAUUUUUAUUUUUGUAUUUUUAUUUUCACUUUUCUUUAAAAGAGGGUGUGGGGCCUCCCUGUCAUAGAUAGCGAGGUGGGUUGGCCCACCGGUAAGUGGCUUAGGCCACAUACCCAUAUUUACCCAUAUAAAACAUAACGUAUUUCUCCACAUACCUAAAUACAUAAAUACAUACAUACGUUCAUCUCAUACAUACAAAAUAUGUACGACAUCUAAUACAUACAUACAUACGUCUUUUUAUUUAUUUUUCUUUUUCUCAUCUCAUCUCCUAACUCUCUGUGUUAACAACUACAAAGAACUCUCAAACUCUAAACCACAAAGAGAGAGCGGGACAUCUCCAACACCAACUACUUGAUCCUAACGGCGUCGGAACGGAGCGCCGUUUGCCGGAAUGGAACCGGGACGGCGCGAGGAAGGAGAUGGUGGGAGGAGCCCGAACAGGGGCUCACCGACGUUGACGAGAGGGCCCGGUGAAGCCGGAGUUCUCGGGAGGCGGAGGAGACGGCGAGGAGGAGGACGAGGCGGUGACGGUGGUGACGCGGUUCCGAUGAGGAUGGUGUUGGCGAGGGGAGCCGGCCGAAGGGUCGCCGAGAGGGGCCUCGGCGAGGAGGGGGCCCCAGGGAUGGAGCCGCCGAGAGGGGUGAGGCCGGCGAGAUGGGGUUCGUGUGGCCGACGGGGUCGACGUAGGGGCCACCGGCGGAGGAAACGCAGGGGGGUGGCCGAUGGGAGAUGGGGGCUCGAUGGGGGGAUGGGUGUCGAUGGGAGGCGAGGGAGUUGUCGGUGGGGGGGUCGAUCUGGGAGGCNNNNNNNNNNNNNNNNNNNNNNNNNNNNNNNNNNNNNNNNNNNNNNNNNNNNNNNNNNNNNNNNNNNNNNNNNNNNNNNNNNNNNNNNNNNNNNNNNNNNNNNNNNNNNNNNNNNNNNNNNNNNNNNNNNNNNNNNNNNNNNNNNNNNNNNNNNNNNNNNNNNNNNNNNNNNNNNNNNNNNNNNNNNNNNNNNNNNNNNNNNNNNNNNNNNNNNNNNNNNNNNNNNNNNNNNNNNNNNNNNNNNNNNNAGUUUCUCUUUUAAAUAUAUUGGGACUACCAAUAAUUCCAAAAGUGCCUGAUUCGCAUUUAUAAUUCGCUAGAGAAUUUUUAUAACUCCCCUCACAUUUUUAUUUCAACAACCGAAAUCUUUUCUCGUUCGCCUCUAUCUUUAAGUUUCGAAUUUUGAUUCGGUUUCAACUAACACGAGAUCAUUGAUAUAAUUCACGGUGACGUCGCAUCAUUAGUGCGGGAUCACUGCCGCUUAAUUACAUGCAUUACUGUAGCAAAAGUCGAGGAUGGCACACGAGGUGCGGCUGGAGAAGACGAUGUGGCCGAAAGGAUUUUUGGGAUAACAGGAUAAAGACGAAAUAGGAUCCGUUAGGAGUGAUGUCAUCAAAAUCCCGGGAAUGGCGGAGAAAGUGAUGUCAUCAAUAAAAUGACCUGGUGACUCAGAUAAUUUGUGAGAGUUGGCGGCUUGUCGAUUAUUGAAGAAGGGGUGAGAGUAGUACGAGUCACCCAAGACGACCAUGGGAGUUUGUUGGCAUGAAUAAAUUCAAGUCAAUCUGGGGCCUAAUGUUGGGGAUAUUACCUGCGGUAGGACCCGCCUUGAUGGGCCGGGUCAGGAAGAGGGCGACUCAUACAUACAUGGUCAGCAUAAUCCUUAGCCCGGGCCUGAGGUGUAUAGGAGGAUCUUCGUCGGUUAGCCGCCAAGGCCCAGAAGCAAGAUGGCGGUUCAGGAAUGAUGGAAAAGAUAAGCCGCCAAGGAAUUUUCCUAGCUUGGAGGAUACGAUGAUUUAGAGAUAAGGAAGGCCACGAUUUGUAACGUGGCCAGGACUUUGUAAACCCGAGGGUCUUGACCUGUAUAUAAAGGCGAGUCUCUAGGGUAGAUAGCUUAGGUUAGAAAUCAUCGAGAGCUAGGUCAGGCGAGUUACGCCCUCCUUGUAAUCGAAUCCACCAUCAAUAUACGCAAAGCAGGACGUAGGCUUUUACCUCCACACGAGGGUCCGAACCUGGGUAAAUCCGAGUCUCGCUUCCGCUCACCCCCUUUGAGUCGCCACCAAGGUGUGAUGGCUCCUUCACUAAGUCCUUUCACGAGGACAUCUGCCGUGACAAAACCCCGACAGCGGGCGAGGUGACUUUGGCGGCGGAGGGCGAGACUUCCAGUCGCAUAUUGUUGGCCAGAAUUUUUCUCGUGGGCGCUGGGGGACGAUGGCUAUGGUGUGUAUGGUGACGGGACUCACCGUGGUUCUUCCUCUACCGGGGGUGGCCUUGGUGAUGGAGAUGGCAGGGUUUGCAUGCCCCUUCUGGACCGUUUGUUGUGGGUGCAAUGGGUCCGCUGAACCNNNNNNNNNNNNNNNNNNNNNNNNNNCACCCGCACCCGGCCGCCAUACCGUCCUAACCAUGGUGGGCGGGGAGGUGGAAGAAGGCCACCACCGCGCCGCGACCAAGAUCGGGAUGACCCUCCCCCGAAGCCAUCAGGAAGCGCAGAUGUUGGGUCGAUGAUGCCAACUAUUGCUGAUGGUGCGGCUGCUACCUCUGCGUCGCUCUCGGGUGAGGCCAUGAAGGCCGUCCGGGCUCUAGCAGGGGUUAAUGUCACUAAGGCAAAGAUUGUUGCUAGUCCGACCGGCGCGUUUGACAAUGCUAGCGAAAAAUUUGAUGGGGAGAGAACUAAAAAGUUGGCUCAAAAAAAAAGAUGACUUGUUUCUGAUGUGGAGGGCAGGGGCAUUUUGUGGCUGAGUGCUCGGUUGAGCUGUGUGACAUUUGCCGUAAGCCGAGACAUGACAAGGGAGAGUGUCCUUUGCUCCCAAGGCCAAAGCCGGUGGUCACUAUCUAUGGGGCCUGUCGUCCGGAGCUUAUGUUCUUUGAGUCACUGCGCUCGACUUCGACCACGCCGUCUCUGGACAGUUCGCGGACGGGGGUUGUUAGGGUGACUCGUAGAUCAUUGACUUCAAAUUAGGUUGUGCAACGUCUGCAUGAGUUGGUUUCUGUUAGCUUCCAGUGGGAUCCACUAAGGCUGGAAGACCAGCUUUUAGGAUGGAUUUUCCUACUAAGGAGGAUCUUGCGAGGCUGAUGAAAUUUGGGAUGGGCAAGGUUCCAAACAACAAUUGUGUUCUUGAGUUUGAUGCUUGAACUCAGAAGGGGCCCGUGGGAACUCCUUUCUCUCAGCUGUGGGUCAGGUUUCUUGGAGCUCCACGUACGUUUGGAGUCUCGGGUCUCUCAUUGGUAAAACAGAGAAGGUGGAUAUGCCUUUCACUCGGGCGUAGGGGGUAGCUCGGUUAUUGGUAAGUGUGGUUAGCAUUGAGCAUAUUCCGGAUACUGUGAGGUGGGCUUACGACUGUCGUAGAUUUGACUUGGAUAUUGAGAUAGAGGAGAGCACUCACUUUCAGGAGUUGGCUGACAGCGUCGAUAUGGAUAUUGAGGACGGUAACGGCGGAGAUGGGAAACGGGGUGAUGGAUCAAACCUGGAGGAUGAUGCUGAUAGAGGCAAGGCACCGUCGGCCAAACCGGUUGAGACUAGCCUUGCGAAGGAACAACCACAUACGCAUACCCAGACGAAUCAGUUGAGGUUUGGAUCCUUUCAGCGGGCUUCGACACUUGACCGUCUAUGGGGUGUCAGGGUGGAGUUGGAUGAUCCGGUGGAGCAUGAGCUGCCACCACUUUCGUCGUCGGCGACACCGGGGGCCAUCACGACGUCUACACCCGCUAGGCCUAUGUCGGUAGAAACCUCGUCGAGGAUGACUGUGACACCCAGAGACCGGAGUCUGGAUCAACGGACGCCAACUCCUGUGAUGGUGGCAUCCAGGCAGCUUGGGGCCAGUGCGGCCACCUAUACCCCUAAGGGGAACUCAGGGACUUCGGAAGCGGUUGGGAUGUCGGCUGGUGGCCAUAUCCCAAUGGCUUUAGCGAUGACUUACUCUGCUGGCUGCGUCGAAAGGGACCGCAACCUUGGUUUGCAUCUGGUUGUUGGCACCGAACGAAGUUUGCACGAUCGCGUUGCCGGACACACGAUGGAUGAUGGUGCAUCUGCCGGAGGUACGCAGUCUAGCCCUGUUAGACGGGAGGCAAGAGGCCACGGUCUGCUUGGGCAUACCACCGAGGAGAUUAUUGACUUCGGAGGGAUCCCCGACCCGGCAACAGGAGAUAGGCGGACGAGUAGCCGUCUUCAAGCUCGGCCGGAUGUCGAUGAUCUUCACAUGAGCCGUGGCAUGCGGGUGGCUAAGCUCCGUGACAUUGAGGCAACUACAUGUAUGCCGGUUAAUACGAAUUGUUCUAUCUUGCAUUUCUCUGAUGAUGAUAUUAUUUUAAACGCAAACCGACUAGGGGUGUCUCUGGGUAACAAUGGGAAGGAAAUUUCGAAAUAUGUGAAUGAUCUUUUAGACUUAGAGGCUGAGAGAGCUAUGGAGAUGCUUAGGAAUAUUGCAGCAUGCAAAUCUAUGAAUGAAUCUGGUAUUAAUGAUCUAGGGAUGACGACAUUAGAGGGUCUAUGUGAGGACCUUAUGCCACCGCCAAUGAUGCCUGGAGAGGGUAACAAUUUCGGUUCAGGCGGUUAUAUGGACCCUUCGCAACCUAAUGUUUGCGCACAAUUUGGGACUGGUUAUAUGGAUUGGUUGGCUGAACAGGAUAAGCCGAAACACACUUGGAAGACAAAGGUGUAUCCUGAAUCUCUGGUUCGAGAAGCGCAAGACUUAAAGACUACCAUUUUUUUAUGACAGAUGAAAGGAAUCUUUUGGAAUAGCAGCGGUCUAGCAGACUUGGCUAAAAGAAAAUUUCUAGCGGAAGCAACACUUGUGCACAAACUAGAUUUUAUUGCCCUAAUGGAAACCGGUAGAGAUAAUUUCACAUCACAAUUUCUUAGUACUCUCUCCAGUGGUAUUGAGUUUGAUUUGCACUGUUUACCGCCAAGAGGAAGGUCCGGUGGGAUCUUACUUGGGGUAAGGCGCGAGUCGCUUGAUGUCCGGAACGUAGUGUACGGGGACUUCGCCGUAAAAUUUAGGGUGCGCUCCAAGGACGAUGGCUUCCAAUGGGCACUUGUGGCAGUUUAUGGUGCCGCCAAGCCAGAGUUGAAGAUGAGCUUCCUAGCUGACCUUGUCCGGAUUUGUGGAGAUGAGCGGCUACCGAUUUAGUUGGGGGGGGGGCUUCAAUAUCAUUCGUCGUAGGGAGGAAAAGAACUAUGACAACUUUGAUGGCAGAUGGUCAUUUAUGUUUAAUACAAUUAUUGAAAGCUUGGAUCUGCGAGAGAUUGAGCUCUCGGGCAAAAAAUUUACUUGGGCCAAUGCCUUUCCCAAUCCAACUUUUGAGAAAUUGGAUCAGAUUCUCACUAGUGUGGAGUGGGAGAAGAAAUACCCUCUCGUAACUGCACGAGCGUUGCAGAGAGCGAUUUCUGACCAUACUCGACUCGGGUGACGCAACACAUGUUGGUAACAAGAAUAUUCUCUUUCGAGUUAGCAUCGUUUGAGAGAGAAGGCUUUAUGGACCUAAUAGCUAGAGAAUGGGCUAAGGUCACAACGGGGGUAUCUAAUGUCGACCGUUGGCAAAAUAAAAUUAGGCACCUGAGGCAGUUCCUAAGAGGUUGGGCUAAGCACAAAAGCGGCAGAUAUAAAAAGGAGAAAGAAAGACUUCUCAAUCUUAUUAAUCUGCUAGACUUAAAAGUUGAGUCCACGCCGUUAGAUGACAACGAAAGGUCAUCUAGAGCGCAUGCAGAACAUAAUCUUAAACAACUUCUUAGAGAAGAAGAGUUGAAAUGGGCUCUUAGAGCUGAAGUUCGACGGGUUGUUUACGGUGAUAACAACACGCAAUAUUUCCAUCUCAUUGCGAAUGGAAAACACAGAAAUGUUUUUUUACCAACUUGAGGAAGACGAGGGUACGAUUGUUGGACAUGAAAAUUUAAAGUUUUAUAUCUCUGAAUACUAUAAGCAACUAUUCGGGGAGCAUGAUGAUAACUUUGUGUCCAAGGAUGAGCAGUGAUAUUCCUCAGCUCGGGAAUGACGAGAAUGAGAUGUUAACCGCACCAUUUUUUCGGAGAAAGAGGUGUUUGAGGCUAUUUCACAAAUGAAAAACAAUAAGGGACCAGGACCGGAUGGAUUCCGGGCUGAGUUCUAUAAGAGAUGUUGGCACAUUAUUAGGGGUGAUUUAUUACCGAUGUUUCAGGACUUAUUCAAUGGCCAACUCCAGCUUUUCCAUCUUAACUUUGGAACAAUUACGUUGUAGCCAAAGAAGGAAGGGGCGCUGCGCAUUGAACAAUUUCGACCUAUUUGCGUGCUUAAUGUGAGCUUCAAAUUUUAUACAAAGGUGGGGACGAAUAGAUUGUCGCAGAUCGCGCAUGCAGUGGUGCAGCCUAGUCAAAUGACUUUCAUGCUGGACAUAAACAUACUAGAGGGUGUGGUUGUCAUACAUGAAAUUCACUCGAAGAAACUAGAUGGGGUUAUCUUCAAGGUGGAUUUUGAGAAAGCUUAUGAUAAGGUUAAAUGACCUUUCCUUCAACAAGCCUUACAUAUGAAGGGAUUUGAUGGGAUUUGACGAGGUUUGGAGGAAACACGUCAAAUCAUUUGUACAAAAAGGUAGCGUUGGAAUUAAAGUUAAUGAUGAUAUGGGUCAUUACUUUCAAAUGCACAAAGGUCUUCGGCAGGGAGACCUAAUGUCCCCUAUCCUAUUCAAUGUAGUUGCAGACAUGUUGGCAAUUCUAAUAGGAAGGGCUAUAGAGGAAGGCCACUUAGGUGGACUCGUUCCGCAUCUAGUGGAUGGUGGGGUGUCUAUCCUACAAUAUGCUGAUGACACUAUCUUGUUCAUGGAACAUGAUAUUGCAAAAGCGAGAAAUAUGAAGCUUAUUAUGUACUUGUUCGAACAGUUGUCAUGCUUGAAAAUUAAUUUUCACAAGAGUGAAUUGUUCUGCUUUGGGAGAGCCAAAGAUGAACAACAUAAAUAUAAACAACUGUUCGGAUGUGAAUUGGGAAGUCUACUGUUUAGCUAUCUAGGCAUACCAAUUCAUCACCAUAAGUUAUCAAACAAAGAGUGGAAAUGUGUUGAGGAUCGAUUUGAGAAAAAACUAAGCUGCUGGAAGGGUAAGCUUUUGUCAUACGGACGACGGCUCAUACUGAUUAAUUCGGUUCUAACGAGCAUGUCAAUGUUCUUAGUGUCCUUCUUUGAGAUACCGGUAGGGGUACGGAAAAGAUUGGACUUCUAUCGAUCCUGCUUUUUCUGGCAGAGUGAUGAAGUUAAGAAGAAAUACAAGCUUGCUAGGUGGGAUAUUGUUUGCAGACCCAAGCACCAGGGAGGUUUGGGAAUUGAGAAUUUAGAGGUUAAGAAGAGAUGUCUGCUAAGCAAAUGGAUGUUCAUAUUAUCUGUGGAGACAGAAGGAAUGUGAGUACAAAUUUUAUGUAAUAAGUACUUACAAUCUAAAAUCUUGGCCCAGGUAACAGUUAGACCCAAUGAUUCACCUUUCUGGAAAGGCUUGAUGAAUAUGAAAGCGGGUUUCUUUCACAAAGCUAAAUUUAUCAAUGGAAAGUCUACGAGAUUCUGGGAGGAUACGUGGUUGGGGGAGACGCCCUUGGCUAUACAGUAUCCAUCUCUCUAUUAUAUUGUUCAACGCAAGGAGGCUUAUGUUGCCAUAGUAUUACAGUCAAAUCCUCUAAAUAUUCAAUUCCGACGAGGUUUACUAGGUCAUAGAUGGGAGGCUUGGCUACACCUAGUCACAAGACUCAUGGAUGUUGUUAGAGCAUGUAUCUCCAUAUGUGGUUUUGGUAAUUGAUGACAAUUCAUAUGGACUAAUGGUUGCCUUAAGUUAUAUUUAUAGGAUUUGUCCAUAGGCACUUCUUGAAGUCCAUCUGUUGGGUUUAAGGAGUUUAUAUGAUGACCAAGGUGGUAUUCAUGAUAUUAUUUAAAGAAUGGUCAUAGAGACACAAGGUUGAUCAAGAUCGUCAUACAAAGAGUAAAUCAAGAUGAUCAACACACAAAGCGUACAAGAUGUACCGAGAGGGAUCAAGUGAUCCCAUGGUAUGGUAAGCAUUGUCCAGUACGUAUUUGUGUACUAACCCAUGGUCUUUGUGAGGGUUCUAUGUGGGGGUUAGGUGUGUUUCCAUGGGCUUGCGUCUAGAGGAAGAUCUCAUACAACCCAUGAAGGAUGAUGUCAAGUGGUGAUCGUCAUCAAGAUUGCGGUGUGCAAGUUCAAGUGGAUCAGCACGAAGAUAUCAUGCUUGAAGCUUACCGUCCAUUGUGGUGGCAAUGGACUUGUGAAGAUAUGCUGAAGAGUGGCUCACCCAUAGUGAGUAUGGGGGAGCAAUCAACUAGUCUUCAUCAAGCCAACGCAAUCAAGAAAGGUGGUCCAUCUUGAGGAAGCCAAGAUCAUCAUCAUCUAGCUCAAGAGGACGAGGUGCAAGGUAUAGGUUUGCCCUUGAUAGGUUUUCUGUUUAGGAUAGAUUGUUGUACUAUCAAGGGGGCUCUCAAGUGAGUAGCUUGAUCGUAUCGUUCGUUGAGAGCUCAAACCAUUUGCAUCCUUGCAUCAUACUUCUUGGUUCUUGUUUGGUGUUUCUCUUUGUGAGUUUUAGAGCUUAUGGUCAUCUUCAUGACAAGCUCGAGUUCAUCGAAAAUGGAGUCCAUAUGCAUCUACUAUGAUGUUUUCGAUGUUGGAGUUCUUACCAGUUCUUCAUUCAUAGAGGACUCACAUCUCUAUAUCAUUGGACUCACAUCGCUGUUUGGAUAGCUCUUGUCGUCCUGAAUCCAACAAGCUUGGGUUUGCUCGAUUCGGAGCUCGUAUGCCAAAGUUAUGGCUGUUUCUGUGGCGAGCGGUAGUACCGCUGGCCCUAGCGGUAGUACCGCUAGAGCUGGCGGUAGUACCGCUGUCCCAGCGGUAGUACCGCCCCUGGUCAGCGGUAGUACCGCUCCAAGAUUUUAGUACCGUCAUCUUUACGGUUGUACUGCGUCGGACAUUUUUGCGAAGACUUUCUUGGCGGUGGUUGCCCCGGUAGUAUCUUUGCGCUACCAUGGGCUCAGCGGUAGUACCGCUGGAGCCAGCGGUAGUACCGCUGGGCUCGGGCUGUAAGUGGGGGUAACGGUCUGAUUCCUUACCCCCACUAUAUAAAGGGGGUCUUCUUCCCCCUUGGUCUUAUCCAUCCGUUGAGCUCUUGUUCUACCUCCAUUGUUGACAUUCUUAGAGCUUGCUAACUCUCAAUUCCUCCAAUGAUUCUUGCUUGUUCUUGAGGGAAAAGAGAGAGGAGAUCUAGAUCCACAUCUUCACCAAUCACUUUCUCCUCUAUGUGAGGGGAACCCCUUGAAUCUAGAUCUUGGAGUUCUUUGUGAGCUCCUUGUUCUUCCUCUCAUAUUUCUCCAUAGCUUUCGUUGUUGUGGAGGGAUUUGAGUGUGAGGGACUUGACCACUUCGUGUGUUCUUGCCAUUGCAUUAGUUGCAUCGAUUUGAGUUCUCAACGGUGAUACGUGGAAGUGAGAAGUUGAGAAGCUUACUACCUUUGGUAUUUAGUACCCUAGAUAUUGUUCUUCGUGGAUGCUUUGGCGUCCUAGAAGCUUGAUGGUGUCUCGGAGCUCAAUCAUUGUGGUGUGAAGCUCCGGGCAAGCGUCAGGGUCUUUAAUUAGGUUGUGAAGAUUGCCCCGAGCAAUUUGUACGGGUACCGGUAACCGCCCCCCAAGGGUUGCCACGUGUAUGGGUUCGGUGACCGCCCCCAAGGUUUGCCAUUUGUACGGGUUCGAUGACCGCCCUCAAGGGUCCCUUAGUGGAAUCACGACAUCUUGCAUUGUGCAAGGGCGUGAGGAGAUUACGGUGGCCUUAGUGGCAUCUUGGGGAGCAUUGUGUCUCCACACCGCUCCAACGGAGAUUAGCAUCCGCAAGGGUGUGAACUUCGGGAUACAUCAUCGUCUUCCCGUGCCUCGGUUAUCUCUUACCCAAACCCUUUACUUAUGCACUUUACUUUGUGAUAGCCAUAUUGUUCAUUGUCAUAUAUCUUGUUAUCACUUAGUUGUUUAUCUUGCUUAGCAUACGUUGUUGGUGCACAUAGGUGAGCCUAGUUGUUUGAGGUUUUGUGCUUGACAUAUUAAACAUUAGUUUUAUUCCGCAUUUGUUCAAGUCUAAACCUUAAUUAUUUUAAAGCGCCUAUUCCCCCCCCCCCCCCUUCUAGGCGACAUCUACGUCCUUUCAGAUGUCCAGCUAUCGGAUGAACCCGAAUAGGCUUCAUUACCAACUAACGCCUAAUGACAUCUUUUCUGUCAAAUCGAUGUAUUUGAGCCGUAUUGACACAACACCAUUACCUAAGUCUAAUCAUAUUUGGAAGGUGAAAGUGCCCUUGCGUAUCAAAGUUUUCAUGUGGUUUGUCCACAAGAAGGCGAUUCUUACUAGGGAUAAUUUGGCAAAGUGAAAUUGGGAGGAAAGUAAAAGAUGUAGCUUUUGUGACCAUGAUGAGACUAUCAAACACCUUUUUCUCCAUUGUCCACUCGCAAAAAUCAUGUGGCAAACAGUCCGCAUAGCCUUUAAUAUCACACCUCUGGAUAGCAUGGAUACGUUGUUUGGGACGUGGCUAAAUGGGGUCCACAUAACUUUUGCUAGACAUAUUCGUAUAGGAGUAUGUGCAUUGUUGUGGGCUAUUUGGAACUGUAGGAAUGACGUGACCUUUAAUAGACAAACAAAUGUUAAUUUCUUGCAGGUACUCUACAGGGCAUCGACGUUGAUCCGUACAUGAUCGUUACUCACUCAUGCGGAAACUAAGGAGCCUAUGGCUACUGGGUCUAUCCGGUGGGAGAUGGUAGCUCGGGAUAUGUACAACAGGUUUGGAUGGUGGUCCAGUAAUAGGAUAGAUGGUUAGGCAUCUAGGCCUAUGUUCGCCGGUUGUGGCAUAUUUUUGUAGACUUUUUAUUUUUGCGCUCCUCGUUUUGAGCUUGUUCGGAACCUCUGGAUGUUUGUUACUUUUCGUUAAUAAAAGUGGCCGCAUGCAUAGUAGAAGUCGGAGGGAUUUCUCCUUUUCUAAAAAAAGGUCCUACUCCCAAUACCAUCCUCACCCAUGAUGGUUGUGGAGAUUAGGGCAGGGAGUGCCUCUAGGACAUGAGUCUCACUCCUAACUGGCUCAAAAAAGAUGUAACCAUGGAUGUAAUGUUUUGAAAAGGAAAUAUAUAUGUCAAUAGGACCCUCUCCUGCUGUCCUUGAUUCGUUCAAAAAUGAAGACACAAGCAGAGUAAACAAUCUCAAAUGGAGUUUUAGGAAGUUUAAAUUCGAACGUAGCAUGAUCACGACUGUUUCAAAUAGCCCAACAAACAACAACCAAGCCAAAAGUAUAGAACUUAGAACCACCAGGCAAGAAAACAUAGCACCAGGAGUAGUAUUGCGAAGACUGCCCCAACAAUCCACCACACCAUCCUAGCCGUAGGGCAUAAAAAGAACAAGUGAUGCGAGGUCUCACGCUUAGCACAGAACGAACAUUUGUUAUUACCAUGCCAAUUCCUUCUUCUCAUGACAUCACUAGUCAAGAUAGCAUCUCGGCAAAGUUGCGAGAGAAAGAUUUUGAUUUUCAAUGGUAUCUUUGCCUUCCAAAUCCAAUGAAAGUCACACCCUGUAAUGUUUUUUUUUCAAGCUGGUUAUACAUGGACUUGGUAGUGAACUUGCGGGUGGAGCUAUGAGCCCAGCCAACCUGAUCCGUUCCUGCGGACAAGGAAUACCGUUGGCAACAAUUUGCAUCUUACUCCACAUACCAUCAAGUGGGGGAUGGAGCCGUCUGCGGAAGAGAUCAAUCCCAUCUGUGUUUACCCACUUGUCAAUCGUCAUAUCAGAAAAUUUACAGAUUUCAAACAUCUGGGAAACUGAUUGCAUAAAGGAGGCAUGCUAUUCAAGGAAUCCAUCCAGAUUUCAAACCAUGGUGAAGGAUUCAUAUAAGUUUAAGAGAACUUCUGAAAUGCAUUAUGAUGGGUUAUAUUAUUCUCACACAGUCCUAAGUCGCAGCAAGGAAACUAUCCGGAACUUGAGGUUACAUCAUAUGAUGUUUUUAAAGGAGAAGUACAUAUAAGCCUCAAGUCGCUGCACGCAAACGACCCGACACUUAGGGGUUACACUACUCAGAUCAAAUUUUCUGAGGUCCUAAGACGUUGCACGUAUGCGACCCGACACUUGGGGGCUACAUUAUUCAACUGUUUAACAGAUUAUGAGGUCCAAAUUGAAGACCCGACCCAUCACAUACUGAUGACCCGACACUUGGGGGCUACACUGGUUGUAGUUUUAUAAGUAUAAGACAAUUAUAUGUCCCAGGCUGCUGCAGGCAAGACGACCCGGCAUUUGGGGGCUACACAGUCAAGGUAUUUUUCUACGCAAAGCAACAAGUCAUCAUAAAGUGAUAAACUCGGAGCUUGGGAGUUACAGGUAAAAUGGAGAUUUAAAAAAAAAGGGGGAAGAACACCUUUAAGCGAUCAAUUUGACUGGUCGAGAUUCAAUUUCUUGGUGGAGCUGAAGCAUUGAAAGCCAGCUCAAUAUCACAUGGAUUUCUUUAUUCCCGAUAAUUUUUUCCAAGUCAAAGCAAUAGAAGUCGACUCAACAUCAUAUGGUUUCUUUUAUUCCCAAUUUUUUCAUCAAGCCAAAGCAUUGGAGGCCGACUCAAUGGAAGAUGGGAGCUUACCAUGAAUAAAUUCAAAUUAACCUGGGGGCUAAUGUUGGGGAUAUACCCCACGGUUUGACUCGGCCAGGAGGAAUGACCCGGUCCAUCACAUGACGGCUCAUGGGUCACCUUGCUUGCCGGGUCUACCGGGAUGACAAGUCCAAAGGCCCAGCGUGCAACACGGUGGAAGGCGACUCAUGGAGAGGCCUGGACGGCCGGCUCACAAAGAAGGCCCAGGAAGAGGUGGAAUUCCCUCACAAGAAAGCAAAACUCGGAAUAGGAUUCAAGAAAGACUAGUCCUAGUUUCAGUAGGAUUCUACAUGUAAACCUACCCUUUCAACUUAUACAAGGAGGGACAGGGCACCCUAAGAGGGAAGUCUAGACAAAACAAGUCAUUAGAGAUAGACAGAUUGGAAAUCCUCAUGACUCGAGAUAGCGAAAUAGCCCCUUGUAAUCGAGAUUAUCAUCAAUACACACAAAGCAGGACGUAGGUUUUUUCCACCAUCGGAGCGGCCGAACCUGGAUAAACUCGCGUCUCUCGAUUUCAAUCAACCCCUCUCAAGCUGCUACCUAGUUGUGACGGCGAGUGACGGACCCAGGAUUGACCGACGCCCCAGGCGAGAAAUUAAGGGCUAAAAACUACGUAAAAAGAAUUAGUUUCAAGGCAUACGAAAAUCAAUCUAUAUUGCAUAACUAAUAAUGCACCGAAGAUAAUAUUUAGUUGCAAGCAUUGUGACACGUUGUUAGUCGUGCCUAAUAAUUUGAUCAUAAUAUGCAAAACGAGAACAAACUCAAAGGACUCCAUUUUAUCAAUCCCAUGGUCGUGGUUCUUUGUGCAACAUUAUCUGCAUCAUUGUAUAGAUUAUGCAUCAUCUAUUAAAUGUCUAAAUAGGUUUCCACAUCGAACAAACAUUGGCAUCAAGAAACAAGGGUCGCAUCUAGCAAUGAAAAUUAUCAUCUAACAGUGGCAUUUGGAAAAUAAAAUAGGGGCAUCAAGGUAUUAAGUCUCCUGGCAAACAACCAGCUCACCGGACGCCAAGCAGAAGGGAUCAAGUACCUCGUCGGAGUCACCGCUCGCGUGCCUCACCAGACAGAGCAGCAGCCUGAAGCGGCGCAACCUGAUGUCGCACGGCCGCACAAGGGAUAUAAGGGACGGGCAACAGACUGGAAGGGGGUGUCCGACACGAUAGGAUCGACCGACACGAGGGCGGGUGGCGGUGCCGAGCAGUGGCGGCGGCGGGCAGCGAUGGCGGCACGCAGGUUCGCCUAGGGUUCGUCCAAGUCGUGGGAAGAAAUGGUGGCUAGUUCGGGGACCGCGUCGCUGGUUGCGGCAACCGCCGAGCGGACGCACAGGGCACAGGGGGUCGCUCAGACUGGACCGACCCAAGUUAGCCCCGAC
rnacentral:lncRNA from 1 species